UUACGGAUAUUCCCGCGUUAUUUAUUUCUCAAAAGGCGGACUCAAAUUUCAAUAUCUCCCUUAACCGGAAACUUAUGUGAUUGCGCUCUCCGGGAACAUCGUUCCAAUUCUUUGUUCGCGCGGUUCUUAAUUCAGAUCGAAUGUUCAACUCAUUAUGAAAUCGAAUCAGCUAUCUCUAUCUUGUAAUUCCUACUGUUACACAGCGUUGCAAAGGGCUGUAUGUCAAGCGCAAGGCAAUGCCAAGGGGCACUCUCGAGGUAUGCUGGAGAGAUGGCUUCAAAUUCAAGGCAUGCUCAGAUGAGCCUGACAGAUGCGCAAAUCAAGGCCUUAAUGAUGGCUUCAAGUUGAACUUAAACAACUUCCUCAGCUUAACCCAGAGUAUGAACCGUGGGUGUUAGUGAUGCAAAGCAACUAUUAUUUGGUUUGCCCCACGAUUCAGUGACAGACAGGAGAAAUGACAACAAAGGAUUCUCUGAAAAUUUUGCCCGGUUUCAUUAAAGACAGAGAUACCACACCAGAAUGUCAUAUACCUCAUGGUUGGAUGAGGGAGUACCCUGAUAAUGGUUCGUGCAGAAAAAAUCUGGGCCUCACAUGACGGGCUGAACAGCGGUUGGAUGUACCCGAUCGUUAAAGCAUCUUGAUAAGCCUAUCUGUCCUCAGGGUUUUCUCCUCACAUUUGGGCUCCCUUCAAUUUAACUACACAAAUGGGUCAAUCUAUGGACCCAUUCAUCAAUCAUCAGGUUGAGUAUGAAAGCUGGGUGGACGUGGAGGAGGAGGAGGAGGAGGAGGAGCAAGAGGCAGAGGGAUCAGAGAUGGAGAAGAUGCAGCUUUUGGAGAAGCCACACCCGCACCCGCUGUGCUUCAUUGAAGAAAGAACAGACAGCCGAGAAGACAUGUUCUGCUGUGUCUGCAAAAAAGAGCUGUUUCCACCAGCUUUCAUUUGCUCCCUCUGCAAAUUCUACAUUCAUUAAUCCUGCAUCCACCUCCCUCCUCAAAUCCUCUCCCGCUUCCAUCCCCACCAUCCCCUUUUCCUCACUGAAACCAAUUCCGACCAUUGCCAUUGCUGCUGGCAGAUGCCAC